rnacentral:lncRNA from 1 species
CCUUCUGUUCUCUUUUGUCUUUCUCUCUGAAGCCCUAGUCGACCCUCUAAAAUUCUAGUCGAUCUGAAUUGGAGAUGGAUAUACCGGUCUUGGAUCUGAGCUUUCGAAGGCUAAAGAUUGAUCUCAUAUACUCUCCUUCCGGCGAUCUGAUGAAGAUGAGUAUUAUUAUUAUUUUUUUUUACUAAUCUUUUCCUCCUUUUGGUUCAAAUAUUACACU